UUACUUCAACAGCACAUAUGCUCAAAUUAGAAUGAUACAGAGAAGAUUAGCACGAGCCCCGGGCAAGGAUGACUGCAGAAAUAGUUGUAAAUAAUAUAUCAUU